rnacentral:lncRNA from 1 species
GUACACUUAACCGUUAUUUCAUGCAUUACUAGUGAAAAACGGUUGUAUUUUUAACAUCGGAUUGAAGGCGCAGUGCAAUUGGUGUAGAUUUUGUCGUUAAUGAUGAAAAGAACAUAGUUCAACAUAUUCCCGCGGAGAAAAAUGGAACGAAUUGGAACCGUUGGAAGAGAAAAUUAUCGUAAGGAAGGAUGUUUCUUGCGAUCAGAAUGCAACAUCUAUCAAAGAGGACUUAGUGCAUCUAUUGAAAACAAAUCUACUUAUUGUCUGCUGCAAUCCUCUGAACAGCAAGAAGCAAGUGCUACAGAUCACUUCAGACAGACAAGAAAAAUACAUCAACAUGAGAGUGAAAUUAGACCGCUUGAGGAAAGAUUAGACCGUAGACGGGAUAGAAAUGCACGAUUAGUUUGUAAGUUGCAAGAACAAAAUGAUCAGUUAUAUUAUCAGCUACAACAAACUAAGACUAAAUUGCACGAAAAAGAGUAUGCCAUGUCUGAAAUUAUCAUGCAACUAAAAGGAAAACUAGCGUAUCAAGGCAAUGAGAUUAAAGAAAAAGAACAGAUGCGACAAAUUUUGCACACAUAUAGUGAUAAAAUGACUGAACUUAAUAAACACAUUGCUUUACAAGAGGCAGAGAUAAAGUGUCGUGAUAAAAAAUUAGGGGAGCUGUAAAAUAACACUUGAUAGUAAAAUGGUCGGAAUCAGUCAGUGUAAAGAACAUCUGAAAAACACCGUGGAGAAAAACGAUGCCCAGUUCUCUGAACAAAGCGAAACGCGAAACGCUUCACCACAUGUUGACGAAAUUGCAAGAAACAGAGGUGAAAAUGGAUAAAGCCGUGAGUUCGCUAAAGGAGAAGAAUCAACAUCUUCAAGCAGAGAUUGAGCGCUGUAAUGAGAAAGUCAAAGCUCUAGAGAAAAUGUUAGACAAAUGACGGAAAUGAACGGCAAGCUUACCGUGUGAUGAAACAAAACGAUGAACAAAUACUAGAUCUGAGACACAGCUGAAACAGACACUAGAUAGGAAAGGGUCUGAAAUGAAUAAAAUCAUUGCUUUGCUAAAGAAAAAGACGCAGGAUCUUGAAAAUGAUGUAAAACAUCGUGAUUUGACGAAUCAACAUCUUCAAGCAGAGGUUGAGCGCUGUAAUGAGAAAGUAAAAACUCUAGAGAAAAUGUUAGAUGGUAAAAGAACCUCAACAAAUGACGGAGAUGGACGGCAAUCAAACGCUGUGAUGAGACAAAAAGAUGGCCACAUUUCUGACCUGAGACAUCAGCUGAAACAGACAGAUAGAUAGAAAGGAGUCCGAAAUGAACGAAAACAUUGCUUCACUAAAGAAAAAGACACAGGAUCUUGAAAAUGAGGUCGAACAUCGUGAUAUGACGAUAAAAGACCUAAGCUACAAAAAGAAGGAAACAAGCGAUAGGAAUGAACUUUUGGAAAAGAAAGUUAAAGAAAAAGAGUGUCAGUUGUACAAAGAGAGAGAUCAGCGGCAACAUGCUUUUGACAAGAUACAAGAUACAAGAAAAGGAAUCUAAAAUGGAAGGAAUCAUCGCGUCGCUAAAGAAGAAAGUUAAGGUCCUGGGGGACGAUAUUGAACAUCGCGAUAUGAAAAUUAAACGUCUAGAGGAAGUAUUAAACAUUAAAAUGAUUGGCGUUCCUGUGAGAAAAGAGGCAAACAGAGAUGUUACGGAAAUGGAAAGGAAAAUUACCAAAUUGACAGAUGAACUGGAUCAGAUUUGACCAAACUGCACGAAACAAAAACUGAGCUUGAUGAAAAAAAAUCAAGGCUGGCAGAUAAUAACCCGAACAUUGCUGACCUUAGCGACAAGAAUCGUCCAACAAAACUUUCUGAAAGAUAUGCUGAAUUGUAUGACGAUCAAUGGACUGUUGCAUUUGACAUUCUUGAAAAACAAUUCAAAACAGAGGAAAUGCAGUCGCAGCACUUCUACAGAUUUUGAAGGAUGCCAUGAUUUUCUGCAGAAACAAAACCUAUGAACAAAUGGAGGAUUUACAACGUGUGCUAGCAUUAUCAAACGAUAAGGAAGAUGAGGGAAUAUCGACUGACCUGGGUACCCUCGUAAAAGAUUGCCGAAAGACAAUGCCAUCUGUGGCAAUAAGAAAUUUAUAUCUGAUAUACAUGUCACAUAUUAACCAGUCAACGGAUAAGACAACAAGAGUAGCGCUUCAAGUCAGUUCAUUUACAAAAGAAUGUCUUGAAGUUUGCAAAGCAGCUCCAGCAAAGAAACAUAUUCUGCUUAGACCUCGAAUAAAUAACACAAGUUUGUUUCGAAAGAUAAUAUUAAAUCCUUUUGUGCUCCCGUCUAUGUUCAAUUUGAUGUCAUUAUGUUUCGUAAUUUCACGAUACCUUACAUAAAUCACAUAAAUCACCGGUCCAUAUACUAAGCAUAAGUCACACAUUUAAAGAAACGUUAUAAUAUACUGCUUUCAUGGUUCGAGGAUCAUAUUCAAAACGUUAAAGAAUCUUUCUCCACAUUUCGUCGCCCGAGUACCAUUAUGUUCUAUCUGUCAUUUUGGCCAAAAAUGAGUAUUUUAUACCAUUAGAAAGAUCUCGGUGAGAUCACGGUCACAGUGACCUGGUCCUCAUUCGAGGGCAAUUCCAAUUUUAGAUAUCAACAAUGUAAUAAAUCUAUUUAUUUAUUAUAUACCUAUAUAAAUUCUGUAAAAAAUCGGCUUGAA